rnacentral:rRNA from 1 species
UACAGAGGGUGCGAGCGUUAAUCGGAAUUACUGGGCGUAAAGCGUGCGUAGACGGUUUCGUAAGUCGGGUGUGAAAGCCCCGGGCUCAACCUGGGAAUUGCAUUCGAGACUGCGUAGCUAGGGUGCGGAAGAGGGAAGCGGAAUUUCCGGUGUAGCGGUGAAAUGCGUAGAUAUCGGAAGGAACACCGGUGGCGAAAGCGGCGCGCUGGAUCCCUACUGACGCUGAGGCACGAAAGCCAGGGGAGCAAACGGG